rnacentral:tRNA from 1 species
GGUAAAAUGGCCGAACGUAAGGCAGUAGUUUGUAGUCCUACACAAGGGGUUAAAUUCCUCAUUUAUC